ACUCGUCCAGGAAAAAGAAUAUAGUAACGUGCGGACAAAAUACAGGGAGUAGUAUUUGGGAAUCAGGAUGAACAAUGUAAACCCUAGACCCUUCACACGUCUACUAUAUAUAGGAUGCCCACUACACCUUGAGACUAUUGUUUUAUGAAACCACUAAACCUGUCAUACUGCUGCAGGAAUUCCUAGACGUAUACGACAGCUUCAGUGGGCGUCCCAACCAAGCAAUGUCCAACAGCAACCCGGUUCAAGCCAAUUAUGAGGAGGUAGCAUCCGUCGAGUACAUCUGCACUCUAAUCGCUGAAGUACGCGGCGACGUGCCGGAGUGUAUCCCGGUUGCAUAUCGACUGGCGCAAGAACAGUGGGCAACCGAUAACCCCAACAAGGUCGUUAGGCUCAUAAGCAACACAUGGGGAACGGGAGUAGGCUCUUCGUGCUGACCCCUCUGCGUCGAAGAUGAUUCGACUCUUACUGGAGAUUUCUGGAAAGCACCUUGAUGACUACAACUACGAUCUCCUAGACAAAUCCCUCUCAGUCAACUAUGAACUACAAUGGGAGAUCGGGGCAGUGAAGUCCAACUACCGGGAGCUCCGUUCCUCAUACAGGUACGUUCUCCGUUGUAACAACCCAGAGUUGGUCGACUCUGACUCUUCGUGAAGCACUGGGAAAGUACAACUCUUGCCAACCAUGCCUCCGUACACACUAGCCGAACCAUAUCACUGUAUCGCCAUUGACCUAUCUUUGCUGAACUAUGGCAGUCAGGUAGUGCUAUUUAUGUAUAUGCUGUUAUAGUGUGUGUUAUCGUUUUUUUCACACUUUGUAUUCCCAGAAGUACGAGGAUCAUGGUAUUAACAGCGGUGUCUAUGGCCACGUUAAAUUUGUUUU